GUCCCAGUAGUAUAAAUAUUACCAUGGUCUUGUAAACCAUAAAUGAAGAAUAACCACUUCCUAGGACA
ensembl:Mt_tRNA